rnacentral:rRNA from 1 species
UGCAAGUCGAACGAAGCACUUUAUUUGAUUUCCUUCGGGACUGAUUAUUUUGUGACUGAGUGGCGGACGGGUGAGUAACGCGUGGGUAACCUGCCUUGUACAGGGGGAUAACAGUUGGAAACGGCUGCUAAUACCGCAUAAGCGCACAGCAUCGCACGAUGCAGUGUGAAAAACUCCGGUGGUAUAAGAUGGACCCGCGUUGGAUUAGCUAGUUGGCGAGGUAACGGCCCACCAAGGCGACGAUCCAUAGCCGACCUGAGAGGGUGACCGGCCACAUUGGGACUGAGACACGGCCCAAACUCCUACGGGAGGCAGCAGUGGGGAAUAUUGCACAAUGGGCGAAAGCCUGAUGCA